AACUUUGCGCAGUGGCAGUAUCAUAACCAAUGAAGUUAAUCUGAGGUGUGAUUAUUGCUAGUUGAAAAUUUCUCCCCAGAGUUACUAAGCGUGAGAAUAGUUCAGUUGCCCAGAACAGGCAGCAUUGUUCAAGAACA
rnacentral:snRNA from 1 species